rnacentral:rRNA from 1 species
UACGGAGGGUGCAAGCGUUGCUCGGAAUCACUGGGCGUAAAGCGCACGUAGGCGGCUUUUUAAGUCAGAGGUGAAAUCCUGGAGCUCAACUCCAGAACUGCCUUUGAUACUGGAGAGCUUGAGUCCGGGAGAGGUGAGUGGAACUGCGAGUGUAGAGGUGAAAUCCGUAGAUAUUCGCAAGAACACCAGUGGCGAAGGCGGCUCACUGGCCCGGUACUGACGCUGAGGUGCGAAAGCGUGGGGAGCAAACAGG